CGCACCAAUUAAAACUAUUUCUCGGUUGCUCCACUACCAAUCGACAAGAGAGAAGUAGAAACUGUAGGAUGAUAAAACAAGAAGAGAAAAGAAACGAACUCGUGAUGGAUGAUGUUGUCUCGCCCGGCCUGUAUAAACUUUAGCGAGAUUUUUUCUCUCGAAUGGCAAAAGCAAGUGUUGCUGUUAUCGCGAUUUAAUAAGUGUACGUUUUGAUUACGGUUUCACAGAAUUGGCCUUUCCGACUGCUCGUGUGGAGAGUGAGAGAUAAAAGAUAGACCGCUCUCCUCGAGACCUCCCCAAAGUGAUAUGUGAGAAAAUAAACAACCCUCGUCGAGCCCUUGUCAGCAAAGGGCUGGCAAGUGCCUCUGCCUUCAUAUCGGCCCUUCGCACACCAUUACCUGUCCAGACGUGAUAGCUGACGCUGUCAGCGUUUGUUUGCUAGAAACUUUGUGAUAAUAUGGCUGUUUUUUUUUAUUUUGUAUAUCAAAAUCUAUAUAGUUUUAUUAAUUAAUACCUUUAAAACUCAAGAAGAUUAAGUAUGUUUUAUAGUUAAUUACUGACUAGGUAGUUAAGCUUUUAUUUCUUUUUCAGAAACAUUUAUAUUUUUUGUAAUCCCGUAUAUAUUAAUUAAUAAAUAAAUAGUUUUACAAUCAA